GUAAAAUAGAAGCAGUUAUGGAUGAAAGGAAAGGGGGAAAAAAAAAUCUGACCUGAAGGGAAAGUUUUCUUGGAAGUAGUUCUUUAUUUUGAAUUGCAUAUUUUGUAUGUGAGUACUUUUUGAUUUUACUUCAUUCUCAGGGAUUCCAUUUUCUGUGGUUGGAAAAAGAAAGCAACUAUUUAAGGAAAAGAAGUGACUAGCUGUGAACGUACAAUUACACUAAGUAAGCAGUCUUAGGUUGUGACCAAGGUGCAGGAAUUACUCCACUGCCUCUCAAACAAAGCAUUCCACUUCUCUGGAAGAAAGUCCUUUUUCUCCAACACUUGUAUCUGAAAGAAUGCGUUGAUGUCCUUCUGUAGCCUGAAAAUUGCUGUUUUGAAAGCCCUAGCAAUUUACUAUAACAAAUGUGUACCUCCAUCACAGUAACUUGUAUUUCUUGCUCUCUAUUGUUCUGUUUUUUCCAUUGGAAUAACACACUAUGCUUUUUUUUUUUUUUUUUUUUUUUUUUUUUUUUUUAAGUUUAACCUUCUCGUCCUAGUCCCCAGGUCUAGGCUGGCUUUGUUACAAAGCAAAGGCUUUGCUGGAUGCUAUUCAGUGUCAGGAUUUCUAUGACAAGAUUGGAAUCAAAAGUAAAAUAACACCAGCCAGUGGUAAAGAAAGAAGCGAAGGCAUCAACUGCGAGGCAAGAGUGGUGCAGAAGAGGUGCAGAGGAGCAAAGAGAAAGGCACACUGGGCAAAUGGCUGUCCCGGUCGUCAGGUCUGCGGACAUGUAAGAAAAGCAUGGCCGGCACCUUUGGUGUCCUCGCCAGCUUUGCAAAUUGGAGAGAAGGAGCUUCCGUUUGCCUUUGGGACCAGGGCUGCCCCAUAACUCGGGGCCCAGCCAGUGCCCUAGUGUCCACUUUGUGGUCCAGGCAGGGGCUUGAGCCCCCUAUAAGCAGGGGUGCAGCCUGUCUGGCUGCUGCUUUGCCUGCCCAGCUCUGUUUGCCCAGGGUGCCCGCCUCUGAGCCCAGCUCCAGCACCAGCUGGACCUCUUGUACGUGUCCUUCAGUGGCAGCCGGUGGCGAAGAAAGAAGAGGCAUCAUGUGGAACUGUGAGGCAAGAGUGAUGAAGUAAAGGUCUGAAAUGAAAGGUGCUUCUACUCCUUUUUCAAUAUUGCGGUAGUUUGAAAUGAAGUAGUCUGAUUAAAUAAAUCCUGUAAAUAUGUAGUAAGUUUAUAAGAC
rnacentral:lncRNA from 1 species